rnacentral:rRNA from 1 species
GAUGAACGCUGGCGGCGUGCCUAAUACAUGCAAGUCGAGCGAACAGACGAGGAGCUUGCUCCUCUGACGUUAGCGGCGGACGGGUGAGUAACACGUGGAUAACCUACCUAUAAGACUGGGAUAACUUCGGGAAACCGGAGCUAAUACCGGAUAAUAUAUUGAACCGCAUGGUUCAAUAGUGAAAGACGGUUUUGCUGUCACUUAUAGAUGGAUCCGCGCCGCAUUAGCUAGUUGGUAAGGUAACGGCUUACCAAGGCAACGAUGCGUAGCCGACCUGAGAGGGUGAUCGGCCACACUGGAACUGAGACACGGUCCGGACUCCUACGGGAGGCAGCAGUAGGGAAUCUUCCGCAAUGGGCGAAAGCCUGACGGAGCAACGCCGCGUGAAUGAUGAAGGUCUUCGGAUCGUAAAACUCUGUUAUUAGGGAAGAACAAAUGUGUAAGUAACUAUGCACGUCUUGACGGUACCUAAUCAGAAAGCCACGGCUAACUACGUG